rnacentral:rRNA from 1 species
UGGGGUAUAUUGGACACUGGGCGGAAGCCUGAUCCAGCCAUGCCGCGUGUGUGAAGAAGGCCUUUUGGUUGUAAAGCACUUUAAGCGAGGAGGAGGCUACUUGGAUUAAUACUCUAGGAUAGUGGACGUUACUCGCAGAAUAAGCACCGGCUAACUCUGUGCCAGCAGCCGCGGUAAUACAGAGGGUGCGAGCGUUAAUCGGAUUUACUGGGCGUAAAGCGUGCGUAGGCGGCUUCUUAAGUCGGAUGUGAAAUCCCUGAGCUUAACUUAGGAAUUGCAUUCGAUACUGGGAAGCUAGAGUAUGGGAGAGGAUGGUAGAAUUCCAGGUGUAGCGGUGAAAUGCGUAGAGUUCUGGAGGAAUACCGAUGGCGAAGGCAGCCAUCUGGCCUAAUACUGACGCUGAGGUACGAAAGCAUGGGGGGCAAACAGG